rnacentral:lncRNA from 1 species
AUAGGUAUUCAUGGAAGCCAAGAAAAGUUACUCAACCCCUGAGGAUCAUGACCCAGACAGGGCUGGCCUUGGAUGUGUCUUGCAAGGUGGCAACGCCAUCUUCGCUGAGAGACCUUCCAACUGUUAUUUGCUUACUUUCCAGGACCGCCUGCAGGAAGAGAGCGUGUCUGUGUGUACAAAGUGAUGUCCUGCUUUGUCUGUUUCUGUGAGCCUAAGCCCUGGAUCCUGCCCCACAGUUGGCAGCAUUCAGCUUUGGAGCUUGAAAGACUGAAGGCCAGAACCUGGAGCUGAGAGAGACCUAUAGUCACCUGGAAAAUAAAUUUCCAUGCAUGUCUGUGCAGGAGCCUCUACACUGGGUUAACUGCGAUGAGAAGACCUGUACCAAAUGACCUUGGCCCCAUUCCAUGGGCUGGAUCCCAUGGACUCAGUGACCAGGAAGAGGAUGCUGAAUGAAUGCAGAUACUCUUCUUGCUGCAAUGGAACUGAGGGAGAUAACGUCGUCGAAGCACUCGAAGAUAAGCUGAGAUGGUCACCCAAGACGGACCAUCUUCAGAUGCACUUUCUUCAGAAAAUAGAAAUUAAGUGGUGUCUCCAUCUGAGAGACACUCUAGUGUUCAGACAGGGAGACAUUCAGCCUGUUGACGGCAAGCUAGCCACCAUGAGGUGCAGGGGUGCCUUGUGGUUUAAACGGAUGUUCAAGGUGACCUUCGCAGUCGACUCUACAGCCAAUCAAAUCGACAGUCAAGAUUAACCUUCAUGAGUGUUAUCUACCUGGCAGAGGUCCAACAAGCUGAAGACAAAGAAACCAUUGUGUAAGAGGGUCUGGAAAACAAAAAGAAGCACCGAAGAGAAAACCUAUAGGCGAG